GAUGAACGCUGGCGGCGUGCCUAAUACAUGCAAGUCGAGCGAACGGACGAGAAGCUUGCUUUUCUGAUGUUAGCGGCGGACGGGUGAGUAACACGUGGAUAACCUACCUAUAAGACUGGGAUAACUUCGGGAAACCGGAGCUAAUACCGGAUAAUAUUUUGAACCGCAUGGUUCAAAAGUGAUAGACGGUCUUGCUGUCACUUAUAGAUGGAUCCGCGCUGCAUUAGCUAGUUGGUAAGGUAACGGCUUACCAAGGCAACGAUGCAUAGCCGACCUGAGAGGGUGAUCGGCCACACUGGAACUGAGACACGGUCCAGACUCCUACGGGAGGCAGCAGUAGGGAAUCUUCCGCAAUGGGCGAAAGCCUGACGGAGCAACGCCGCGUGAGUGAUGAAGGUCUUCGGAUCGUAAAACUCUGUUAUUAGGGAAGAACAUAUGUGUAAGUAACUGUGCACAUCUUGACGGUACCUAAUCAGAAAGCCACGGCUAACUACGUG
rnacentral:rRNA from 1 species